rnacentral:rRNA from 1 species
UACGUAGGGUGCGAGCGUUAAUCGGAAUUACUGGGCGUAAAGCGUGCGCAGGCGGUUCGUUAUGUCUGUUGUGAAAGCCCCGGGCUCAACCUGGGAAUGGCAAUGGAAACUGGCGAGCUAGAGUGUGGCAGAGGGGGGUGGAAUUCCGCGUGUAGCAGUGAAAUGCGUAGAGAUGCGGAGGAACACCGAUGGCGAAGGCAGCCCCCUGGGCUAUCACUGACGCUCAGGCACGAAAGCGUGGGGAGCAAACAGG